rnacentral:rRNA from 1 species
GAUGAACGCUGGCGGCGUGCUUAACACAUGCAAGUCGAACGGAGUUAACAUGUGAGCGGAGAGUGCUUGCACUUAACAAUCUUUUGUUAACUUAGUGGCGGACGGGUGAGUAACGCGUGGGUAACCUGCCUCAUACAGGGGGAUAACACUUAGAAAUAGGUGCUAAUACCGCAUAAGCGCACAGUAUCGCAUGAUACAGUGUGAAAAACUCCGGUGGUAUGAGAUGGACCCGCGUCUGAUUAGCUAGUUGGUGAGGUAACGGCCCACCAAGGCAACGAUCAGUAGCCGGCCUGAGAGGGUGAACGGCCACAUCGGGACUGAGACACGGCCCAA